AAACAACUGUCCUGGAUGAGGUCCAGUUGGAUGUGCCAUUGGAUGAUGGGCCAGAUGUUCCACAGCUGCCAGUCCUCCUUGAUGUCCAGAAUGCUGCUAUCAUCCUUGAGGAUGUGCCAGAUGUGCAGACUAUCCUUGAGGUAAGAUUUUCUGAAAGUUUGGGGUUUUAUGUUUGAAAAAUAUCCCAGAUAUUCAAGUUGUGCCUCUUUAACAUGAAACAAAUCUCUUGUCUGCUUUCUAAUUUAGGAGUCCACUGAUUCCAAUUAGGUUCAGCCCCCUGUACCGUGGGCCUGUUGUGAUCAGGAUAAGAGACCCCCACACACACACAGUCACACACAGUCACAUCACGGUUACAAUGUUUACUGUUUCCAACAUGAAUAUAUUGUAAUGUGCAGAACAAUGUCGGUCCGGUGGUUAAAGCUUGGAGAACUUUCCAGUUCAUCAGUCCCAUCAUCACCAACAUGCGUGAGGGAUCCCAGCAGACUGAUGUUUCAGUGGUGUACGCCACUCUCCACAUGGGGCUGGACGGGCUUCUCUCUUCAGCGUGAUCGGAGGCUGCCUCCUUCUCUACGCCCACCACUCAGCAGUUCACUGACCCAGAGCCUGAGGGCCACAACUGCUAUGAGAUCAGACGUUACACACACAUACUAUUGACAAGGAGCAUUAAGAUCCUUCCAUUGACCGAUUGUUUGUUAUGUCAUUGCACUGGUCACUGAUUUUGAAUGCUUGUUUUGUUGUCGCAGGGCUGGGAGGAGGACCUGCUGCCUGAGGAGAGGGAGGUUCCUCUGCUAAACCUCUACCUUACCACCAAGAGAGUGGAGGACAUCGCCCUGAGGCUCGUCUCCCUGCGCCAGGCCUUCACUGACGAGGCCAAGUUCAUCCGUACCUAUAACGAUUUUUGUGGACUACCUGAGUGACCCCUCCAAGUGGAAUGACAUUGAGAGGGAGCUGGCUGUGGCAAAGAUCCAUCAUGUGAACAUGAUAGAUGUCCUCUUUGAGCUGGUGCUGUUUGGGAUGAUGACAGCUCAGAAGUCCCUGAUGGUGCACCCUGGUGGGUUCGUGGAGCGUCUGUUCACUCUCCUGUACUUCUUCCUGCCCACUGCUGCCAACAUGGAGCCAGAGGCUGACAGAUACCUGCUGCUGCUCAAUAACAGCCUCAUUUCAGCAUGGACUCUACAAGCUGCCCUAAGCGUUCCACAAGGAUGCUGGCCCAUGAUGUGUCAAGUUGGCUGGAUGUCCUUUGGGUGGUGGACCAUUCUUGAGACACAUGGGAAACGGUUGAGCAUGAAAAAAACAGCAGUGUUGCAGUUCUUGACACACUUCACCCGGUGCGCCUGGACCAUACCCCGUUCAAAGGCAAUUAACUCAGUUGUCUUGCUGAAUCACCCUCUGCAUGACACACACAAUCCAUGUCUCAAUUCUCUCAAGGGAUUAAAAUCUUUCUUUACUCAACCUUUAUCUACACUAAUUGAAGUGAAUUCAACAAGUGACAUCAAUAAGGGGUCAUAGACUGUCCAAGUGAAAGCUAUGUCAUGGAAAGAGCAGGUGUCCUCAAUGUUUUGUAUUAUCAGUGUGUGUAGUAACCUGGUACAGCAUAAAGUAUACCAUUAGAGGGGAUAAUUGCUUCAGUCUUGAAUGUUACUUCUCGCUAUCCCUACUCUACAUUAACAGUCUGCCAUUGUAGACUCUGGUAACUUGGGUAUCUUAUUUUUUAAAUAUUUGUCAUUAAUGCCUGAACCAUAUACCAUCAUUCCCACUGAAACCAGUAAUGUUAGCGAUCAUGUGAGGGUGUUGUAGUGCAUACUGACCACUAGUUGGAUCAUAGUGUGGGUGGUGGAGUUUAUGCAGGAACACAGAGGGUAGAGGCAUUCUCCAUCACAAUUACAUGAUCAUGGCCAGUUAUGCAAAUUAGGUGAUGAUGUCAUUUAGCAACUUUUUUAGGACAGCCAAUAGCUACUUUCCUUACUGAGGAGUUGGCAACACUGCUAACUUUAAACAUCAGCUACAUUGUCCAUCUGUAAAUAGCCCACCCAAUCUACCUACCUCAUCCCCAUAUGGUUUUAUUUACUUUCUGCACUUUUGCACACCAGUAUUUCUACUUUGCACAUCAUCAUCUGCUCAUCUAUCACUCCAGUGUUCAUUUGCUAAAUUGCGAUUACUUCGCAACUAUGGCUUAUUUAUUGCUUUUAUAAAAUAUUUUUUUCCCUUCUAUUUUGUUAUUGAUUGUGCGCUUGUUUGUUCCAUGUUUAACUCUGUGUUGUUGUUUGUGUUGCACUGCUUUGCUUUAUCUUGGCCAGGUCGCAGUUGUGUAUGAGAACUUGUCCUAAACUGACUUACCUGGUUAAAUAAAGGUGACGUUUAAAAAAAUAAGCAACAUUUUUGUCUUUCCCAGAAAGGGGAUGUAGCUCAGUGGUAGAGCGCAUGCUUUGCAUGUAUGAGGUCCUGGGUUCAACCCCCCAGCUUUUCCAUCUUUUUUUGCGAAGACCCAAUUUCAACUUUCCAGAAUGUUGAAAUUCUAAGCAGGAAGCAGAGAUGUGCAAAAUCAUUUGGUCUUGUAAUCUGAAAAAUAUGCGUUCAAUCCCUGUUAGUACAUUUAUAGAACAGAAGGUGCAUGGUUGCUAACUUUUAAGGCAUAAUUUUCAAAAACUGAAGAUCAUGUUUUCGAUCCCUGUCCGUACCUGUUUUAAGAAUUGCUGCUAUCAUUUCAUUGUAGUUUCAAUUGAGUGGUGUAUAUAAAAACUACAUUGUAUUAAUAGUUCACCCCUCCGCGUCCAGACUGUAUAUGAAUGUGGGAUACCGCCGCUGGCUGAUCCCGCCCUGGCUUACAUUUUAAAAACCACAAUUAACCUGAAUUAGGGCCAGACUAGUUACCAUCAUUUUCUCACAUUGCCAUUGAAAGUUUUUUCUAUUGUCUCUUUUUGGUCCAUUUAGAUUGUUAAUGUAGAUUGUAUAGAAUUAUUAUAUAUAUUUUUUUAAUGUUAUGGUUAAAAAUGUUAAUGUUUUACUGUGACUUGUUGUAGGCUCCUAGGUGGACCAUAAGGUAAAAACCAAACCAAAUUGAGAAAACUAAACUGAAAAACAAAAAAAUACAAUUAAAAAUACAAUUAAAACUAAGUUUCUCCGCGAGAAUAUCUCUUUUGGGUCACUUUUGCUGGUCCCAAGCCCGGAUAAAGGAGGAGGGUUGGAAUUGUGAAAUAAAAAUAAACAAGAAUCGACAGAAGAAAGUUCAUUUGUAGUUCGAAACAUAUUUAGGGUGUUUUUUUUACUCACUUCUUGUCUUUCCCACGGAGUUAUUCCUCUCUCAAACAGCAUCCAUCACAAUUACAUGAUCAUGGCCAGUUAUGCAAAUUAGGUGAUGACGUCAUUUAGCGACUUCUAGCGUCUUUUAGGACAGCCAAUAGCUACUUUCUUUACUGAGGAGUUGGCAACACUGCUAACUUUAAACAUCAGCUAUCUGAGCAGCUA